rnacentral:rRNA from 1 species
AUUGAACGCUGGCGGCAUGCUUUACACAUGCAAGUCGAACGGUAACAGGCCGCAAGGUGCUGACGAGUGGCGAACGGGUGAGUAAUGCAUCGGAACGUGCCCAGUCGUGGGGGAUAACUACUCGAAAGAGUAGCUAAUGCCGCAUACAAUCUAUGGAUGAAAGCGGGGGACCGUAAGGCCUCGCGCGAUUGGAGCGGCCGAUGUCAGAUUAGGUAGUUGGUGGGGUAAAGGCUCACCAAGCCAACGAUCUGUAGCUGGUCUGAGAGGACAACCAGCCACACUGGGACUGAGACACGGCCCAGACUCCUACGGGAGGCAGCAGUGGGGAAUAUUGGACAAUGGGCGCAAGCCUGAUCCAGCAAUGCCGCGUGCAGGAAGAAGGCCUUCGGGUUGUAAACUGCUUUUGUACGGAACGAAACGGCUCUGGUUAAUACCCGGGGCUAAUGACGGUACCGUAAGAAUAAGCACCGGCUAACUACGUG